rnacentral:tRNA from 1 species
GGUGAGAUGGCUCAGUGGUUAAGAGCACUGGCUGCUCUUCCAGAGGUCCUGAGUUCAAUUCCCAGUAACCA